rnacentral:tRNA from 1 species
UCGUUGGUAUUUCAGUGGUAGAAAUCUUGCCUUGCAUGCAGGAGACCUGAGUUCGAUUCCUGGCCAGUGCC